rnacentral:rRNA from 1 species
AUGAAGUCGGAAUCGCUAGUAAUCGUGAAUCAGAAUGUCACGGUGAAUACGUUCCCGGGCCUUGUACACACCGCCCGUCACACCAUGGGAGUGGGUUGCACCAGAAGUAGAUAGCUUAACCGCAAGGGGGGCGUUUACCACGGUGUGGUCCAUGACUGGGGUGAAGUCGUAACAAGGUAACCGUAGGGGAACCUGCGGUUGGAUCACCUCCUUACGAAG